UGGGGAAUAUUGGACAAUGGACUGAGAGUCUGAUCCAGCAAUUCUGUGUGCACGAUGAAGUUUUUCGGAAUGUAAAGUGCUUUCAGUUGGGAAGAAAUAAAUGACGGUACCAACAGAAGAAGUGACGGCUAAAUACGUGCCAGCAGCCGCGGUAAUACGUAUGUCACGAGCGUUAUCCGGAUUUAUUGGGCGUAAAGCGCGUCUAGGUGGUUAUGUAAGUCUGAUGUGAAAAUGCAGGGCUCAACUCUGUAUUGCGUUGGAAACUGUGUAACUAGAGUACUGGAGAGGUAAGCGGAACUACAAGUGUAGAGGUGAAAUUCGUAGAUAUUUGUAGGAAUGCCGAUGGGGAAGCCAGCUUACUGGACAGAUACUGACGCUAAAGCGCGAAAGCGUGGGUAGCAAACAGGAUUAGAUACCCUGGUAGUCCACGCUGUAAACGAUGAUUACUAGGUGUUGGGAGUCGAACCUCAGCGCCCAAGCAAACGCGAUAAGUAAUCCGCCUGGGGAGUACGUACGCAAGUAUG
rnacentral:rRNA from 1 species